rnacentral:lncRNA from 1 species
UGGAUACUGUGAGAUAGCGUCUGUGGAAACACGGCUAGUUCUCUAGAAUGAGAAAUGCAACCUUAAUUGAAAAGCCUUUUGCGGAAGCAGUUGUGGACCCAAAUGAUUUCAAAAACAUUUUAAAUCUUUACUUGAUUCAGAAGAUUGAUUAAGUACAUGCAAAGCAUCUAUAAGAGCAUACUGGAGGGAAAACCUGUUUAUUCC